AGUGAACGCUGGCGGUAGGCCUAACACAUGCAAGUCGAACGGCAGCACAGUAAGAGCUUGCUCUUACGGGUGGCGAGUGGCGGACGGGUGAGGAAUACAUCGGAAUCUACUUUUUCGUGGGGGAUAACGUAGGGAAACUUACGCUAAUACCGCAUACGACCUACGGGUGAAAGCAGGGGAUCUUCGGACCUUGCGCGAUUGAAUGAGCCGAUGUCGGAUUAGCUAGUUGGCGGGGUAAAGGCCCACCAAGGCGACGAUCCGUAGCUGGUCUGAGAGGAUGAUCAGCCACACUGGAACUGAGACACGGUCCAGACUCCUACGGGAGGCAGCAGUGGGGAAUAUUGGACAAUGGGCGCAAGCCUGGUCCAGCCACACCGCGUGGGUGAAGAAGGCCUUCGGGUUGUAAAGCCCUUUUGUUGGGAAAGAAAAGCAGCAGGUUAAUACCCCGCUGUUCUGACGGUACCCAAAGAAUAAGCACCGGCUAACUUCGU
rnacentral:rRNA from 1 species